UUGGGUACUUUUCUUGAGGUCACGGUGGGCUAGAUCCUUGUGGGGCCGGGGCUAUUACUACCCUAUGAUUCUUGGCUAGGGGGAAGUUUGAAGCGUGCCUAAGUGGUCCAGUUGCAAAAUAAUUGUGCAGGACGGCACCUAGCGCUUGAACAUGUAUUUUUUCUGGCAACAUAAAUAAUUAUGAAAUGAUCGUACAUAAAGCAUACAUUCACCUACCAAACCUUCCCC
rnacentral:lncRNA from 1 species